GUGUGUGUGUCUGUCUCUCUCUCUCUCUCUCUCUCUCUCUCUCUCUCUAUAUAUAUAUAUAUAUAUAUAUAUAUAUAUAGAGAGAGAGAGAGAGAGAGAGAGUAUAUAUAGAGAGAGACCAACAGAGACA
rnacentral:miRNA from 1 species